AUGAAUGCAAGGAAAGAUGAUUUGGAUGAUGUGUUGAAACUUGUUUCAUUCUUCAAAGACAUGAAGGCAAUCAAUGUUGAGUUUUUCUAUGACAUACAAGUAGACAAAGACAAGUCAAUUAAAAACAUUUUCUGGUCCAAUGCAAGCUGCCGAGGAGCCUAUCAAGACUUUGGCGAUUGCGUAACAUUCGACACAACUUACAAGACCAACAGAUUUCAUAUGCCUCUAGGAGUGUUUGUUGGAACAAACCAUCACUUGCAGUCAACGAUAUUUGCUGUUGCCCUGAUCAGAUACGAAGAUGCAGAGUCAUUCAAGUGGCUGUUUGAUACAUUUGUACGGUGCAUGAAUAACAAGCACCCAACUUGCAUUCUAACAGACCAGUGCCCGUCGAUGGCGAAAGCUAUACCACAAUCAUUUCCAAACACUGUCCACAAGCUAUGCCGUUGGCACAUCCUAAAGAAGUACAGGGAAUACCUCGCGUUGCUGUACAAAAAGUAUAAAACAUCCAAAGAGGAGUUCACAGCUAUAUUAAACUGGCCGCUGAUGCCAACGGAGUUUGAAGCUGCCUGGGCUGAACUCGUGCACAAGUACAACCUGGAGAAUGACCAGAUGAUGAUCCAGCUGUGGAGUGAUAGGAAAAUGUGGAUUUCAACAUAUUACAAGAACAUUUUCUGUGCUAGAAUGACUUCCACACAACGAAGCGAGAGCAUGAACCACGUGCUCAAGAAAGGGUUUGUCAAGGGGACCCAGAACCUACACAAGUUUGCUAGGCGGGUAAAUGCUUGCAUACAAACUCGGAUGCAGAAGGAGAAUGAGCAAACAAUGACCAGCAUGGUAUGA
rnacentral:rRNA from 1 species